AUUCUUUCGCAGAGGCAAUAUUGUAGCCUAUGAAGGCAAUCCGAGGCAUGAUCACUACAAGUUGUAAACUUUACCCAAUACUAGGGUUGUCAUGAUACUGGAGUUUGGUACCAAUUGAUACUGAAAUUUUAAAA
rfam:Danio rerio chromosome 23, GRCz11 reference primary assembly.